rnacentral:rRNA from 1 species
GACUCUUAGGGGUGGCUCACUGGGCUCCUGCUCCAUGAACACAGCUAGCUUUCAGAAUUAAUGUGAAUUGCAGGACACAUUGCUCAUCCACACUACAAAUGCUUUAGGCCCUGUUUUUUCUUUUCUUUUCUUUUUUCCCCACCCCCCCAGGGCUUUGCAUGUCUGAGUGUCG